rnacentral:rRNA from 1 species
CCGGAGGAAGGUGGGGAUGACGUCAAGUCCUCAUGGCCCUUAUGGGUAGGGCUUCACACGUCAUACAAUGGUCGGUACAGAGGGUUGCCAAGCCGCGAGGUGGAGCCAAAUCCCUUAAAGCCGAUCGUAGUCCGGAUCGUAGUCUGCAACUCGACUACGUGAAGUCGGAAUCGCUAGUAAUCGCAGAUCAGCAUGCUGCGGCGAAUACGUUCCCGGGUCUU